GCGGCUAGGGGUGGUGAGGUGACGGUGGGUGGAGGCUGAGAGGAGGGAGGUUGCGGGGUUGGAGAGGUGGGGUUGGGUAAUGCUGGGUUUGUUUGUUUUGGGGUUACUUUUUUUAAUUUUUUGUUGUUUAUUUUUGUAUUUAUCUGAUUUAAAUUUUUUUAAUUAAUUUAAACAAUAUAAAAAAAAUUAUUACUUUUUAAGUCCAUGUCAGCUGGAAAAAAAAGCCAUAUUAGUGGUGAGCUUCAAUUUUUUCAAUUUUAAAAUUAG
rnacentral:lncRNA from 1 species